rnacentral:rRNA from 1 species
AACGAACGCUGGCGGCAUGCCUAACACAUGCAAGUCGAACGAGACCUUCGGGUCUAGUGGCGCACGGGUGCGUAACGCGUGGGAACCUGCCCUUAGGUUCGGAAUAACUCCCCGAAAGGGGUGCUAAUACCGGAUAAUGUCUUCGGACCAAAGAUUUAUCGCCUUUGGAUGGGCCCGCGUUGGAUUAGCUAGUUGGUAGGGUAAAAGCCUACCAAGGCGACGAUACAUAGCUGGUCUGAGAGGCUGGGCAGCCACACUGGGACUGAGACACGGCCCAGAAUCCUACGGGAGGGAGCAGUGGGGAAUAUUGGACAAUGGGCGGAAGCAUGAUCCAGCAAUGCCGCGUGAGUGAUGAAGGCCUUAGGGUUGUAAAGCUCUUUUACCCGGGAUGAUAAUGACAGUACCGGGAGAAUAAGCUCCGGCUAACUCCGUG